rnacentral:rRNA from 1 species
AGGCGUUUUCGGGAUUCUGGGCGUAAGCGUGCGCAGGCGGUUAUGCAAGACAGAUGUGAAAUCCCCGGGCUCAACCUGGGAAUGGCCGUGAAAACUGGCGAGCUGGAGUGUGGCAGAGGGGGGUGGAAUUCCAGGUGUAGCAGUGAAAUGCGUAGAGAUCUGGAGGAACACCGAUGGCGAAGGCAGCCCCCUGGGCUGACACUGACGCUCAGGCACGAAAGCGGGGGGAGCAAACAGGAUUAGAUACCCUGGUAGUCCACGCCCUAAACGAUGGCAACUGGGUGUUGGGGGAGCGAUUCCUCAGUACCGUAGCUAACGCGUGAAGUUGCCCGCCUGGGGAGUACGGCCGCAAGGUUAAAACUCAAAGGAAUUGACGGGGACCCGCACAAGCGGUGGAUGAUGUGGAUUAAUUCGAUGCAACGCGAACAACCUUACCUACCCUUGACAUGUCCGGAACCCUGCUGAGAGGUGGGGGUGCCCGAAAGGGAAUCGGAACACAGGUGCUGCAUGGCUGUCGUCAGCUCGUAUCGUGAGAUGUUGGGUUAAGUCCCGCAACGAGCGCAACCCUUGUCCCUAGUUGCUACGCAAGGGCACUCUAGAGGGACUGCCGAGGAUAACUCGGAGGAAGGUGGGGAUGACGUCAAAUCAUCAUGCCCCUUAUGUUUAGGGCUACACACGUGCUACAAUGGCUGGUACAGAGGGCUGCGAAACCGUGAGGUUAAGCCAAUCCCUUAAAGCCAGUCUCAGUUCGGAUUGUAGGCUGAAACUCGCCUACAUGAAGCUGGAGUUGCUAGUAAUCGCGGAUCAGAAUGCCGCGGUGAAUGCGUUCCC